GUGGACGCUACCACAGAAGCCACCACAGAAUCAGAUCCUGCAACGCCAACACCUCUUUCACCUUAUACAAAUUACCCAGAUCUCAAACCGCCAUCAACCCCUAUGCCACCGUUAGUGGAGUCUGAAGUCGAGACGAAGGCUGGCAGCACCGUGACUGAAGAACCAGCAGUGGUCAAUUCUGCACCUAUAGCAGACGCUAGCACUGGGUCAUCUCCUGUCACUACUAGGCCCAGACCUCAGUCACCAUACCCUAAUUAUCCAGAUUUCAAGCCACCAUCCUCGCCUUCGCCGUCAGCACCUUAAUUUGGCAAGAGUACAAGAAACCGGGUCUAGAGGAUAUUAAAGAAGUUGAGUUGUUCAUAUGGAGCCGGCAUCUCACCAGAGGUGUAUGUUGUAUUAUGAGCGUGAUAGUGUGGCUAAGUCACUGUGGCGAGUUUUCUGCAGCAGUAAAUAUAUGA